AAUGAAGCGCCAUGGAGGGUGAGAGCCCCGUCCAUCCCGCACAGGAUCCAUUCGUACAAAGACGCUUCAACCGAGUCGGGUAGCUUGGGAAUGCUGCUCUAAUUGGUGGUAAAUCUCAUCAAAGGCUAAAUAGUGGUGGGAGACCGAUAGCGAACAAGUACCGUGAGGGAAAGAUGGAAAGAACUUUGAAAAGAGAGUGAAAAGCACUUGAAACCGUCACGGGGGAAGCGGAUUGCGUGAGUGAUGGUGUCGCUUGUUCAGCGCUUUAUUGCGUGCAUUCUGGCGGCGCCGUGCCGGCGUGGCUGGCUGGACUGUGAUUUUGACAGUCUCGGCUGGUGAGGGCUCCCUCGUAUGAGGUGAGGACGCGGGCAAAAUGACGCAAUACGACCCGUCUUGAAACACGGACCAAGGAGUCUAGCACGGCUGCGAGUCGAAGAGUGAUUAAACUCAAGGGCGCAGUGAAAGCGAAAUUAUAAGCAAAUUGGGGAGGCGUUGCGUUUUUAACAAAAUGUCCUACCUCGAGCAUUUGUGCUGGGACCCGAAAGAUGGUGAACUAUGCCGGAGUAGGGCAAAGCCAGAGGAAACUCUGGUGGAGGCUCGUAGCGAUGCUGACGUGCAAAUCGCUCGUCGAACUUGGGUAUAGGGGCGAAAGACUAAUCGAACCAUCUAGUAGCUGGUUCCCUCCGAAGUUUCUCUCAGGAUAGCGGGCCGACACGCGUUUGUUGUUUUGUGCGGUAAAGCGAAUGAUUAGUGCAUUUGGGGUACGAAGUACUUCGGGCGAUUCUCAAACUUUAAAUGCGCAAGGGGGUGGCUGCUUAAUUGAGCCUACUCUUUGAAAAACGUCGGCCCUGUGGGCCACUUUUGGUAAGCAGAACUGGCGAUAAGGGAU
rnacentral:rRNA from 1 species